rnacentral:pre_miRNA from 1 species
AAUUAGAUGUUAAUCAUUAAUUGUCUACCUUCACUAUUUUAUUAAACGUUUAUCGUUACAUGUCACGAUUUUAUUAAACAUUAAUUUUAUGUACCUAAUUAACGUUAACUUCCAAUAAAAUUAGGAUGCGUGAUAAUCAACAUUUAAUAAAAGUACGACACUUAACGAUUAAAGGAAACAAUUAAUCGUUAACGUUCAAUU